GCCCGCCUAGCUCAAUCGGAUAGAGCGUCAGACUCUUAUGACGCCGGAUUGGCAUACUGGGGUAAUCUGAAGGCUGCGAGUUCGACCCUCGCGGUGGGCU